GUAAGCGUAUCAACAAUCGGAAAUAAAUUUCUCGCGUGAAAUUGCUUUCGAUGGUGUCCAAAACCCCCAGCAUCCUCUUAUUCGAAUUAAUUACAGACGUCGCGAUCGUUCAUGAAUAUUUAUCGAUGAUCCUAUCUCGGCUCGAUUGGCUACGUCACAGGAGUUCCUGUUUCGCGAAUAUACAUACACAUGUGGACCGCGUCUGAAAACUCGCAGUGUUGACACAUUAAAGUGCAAGCACAUAUUUGAAACGCGGCGAUGUUUCGUAAGGUCGCAUUUCCGUUUCUAUCUGCGUUUUUAAUUGAGAUCCGGUGAAGCGAGAAAAGGUAUCCGGGAAAAAGGGGCCAUAUUUGUUCCCUUUUUGGCUGACCUUCUGACCUAACGAGCGUAUUCAAUUCGCUGAACCUUCAGUCUCAUUUAAACCGUCUCUCGGUAUCUGGUGGUUUUUAAGGAUACGCGUUUGAAAAACCCGAUGUCGGUCAACCAUGAAUAUAUCCCGGCCCAAAUGAAACGUUCGAUGUGGGUCAGUGGCGCCAGCAACAUUUUAUUCGAGCUUACUUGAAACGUUUCCUCUAUGAAACUCUGUCGUCCUUCUUCUUUUACCUUCGUCUCCGCAUUCUUGUCCCGAUCCGGAACGUUAAACGCCUUAUUUUUUUUUUGUCUGUUCUUGGUUCGGUGUCUCUUGCGAACACGUUGAAUUUUCUGAUUACGGUGAUAUCGAAAGCACACGCAGGAAUUGGCCCCUGGCGACAAGUGCAAGAUACAUAAUCGGAAUAAUUUCGGUCCGCCAAUCAAUCAAAGGAAAGCUCAUCAAAAUACAACAGGUAGCGAGUGGAAUUCUAAACAAACCACAAUCGCGGUUCCAUAGUUCCGAGUGUUCAGUCAUCGGAAUAGAAUAUGGAUGAUGGUCACCGAGGAGCUCGUCCAUGAUCCAUCCAUAUUCUAGUUGUAAUUUAAGUUCUCCCCCGUUGGAUCCUCGUGAAUCCAUAGCAUCCGCUUUGUCUUCGGAGUUUCGUCAAUUAUAAACAAACAUCCCUUGAUCAAUUCAUAAAUAUUAAUACGUCAUAGCAGACAAACAAAAGUCCUUCGAUAACCGACAAUUCUGUAUUUCACUAUUUUUUCCCCCGUCGUCUGUGUGGUACUUCCUCGAUCAAAUGGUUAUUACGUUCGAUAUCAGCGUUUAUAUAUAAUUAACAUUUUAGCUAAUUGUUAAUUUAGUUGCGCCAUCUACGGAAGAAUGUUCAAGCUGCUCGCCGUUCGAUACCUUCUUUCUAUUAUUUGGGUAAUAUACCACAAUUUCUAAUCGCAGACUCGAAUUAGGGAUUUGAAUAAUUUCUAAAUAAGUAACAAUAUCUGCGACCCGUAAUCAAUGUGAAAAAGUUUAUUAACAAAAGCUUUUAUAUUAUAACAACAGCAAGUCAAUGCCAGACAGUGUUCUGUAAAUAGAAUUGAAACUCGACGACAGGAUGUGUGUACAUUCGCUAUGUUGACUCGAACAUUCCAACCCCCAGGAGUAAAUUUCUUCGGGAAAAAUGCAACGUCAAAACGGGCGUGUUUUUGGUCGCAAAAGUCCUGAGAAGAUUGGAAUUUAGCAAUCGUCGAUACCAACCCGAGACCAGUAUAUUACCGUCCCUGCUGAACGACAAACAGUGAACGGUACCGGUAUGGUUCGACAGGGCAGCGACGAGAUGACCGUGCGCCAAGUCCCAAACUAAAACCCGAUGGUCUGCCCCAGCUGAUGCUAGAAAUCGACCUUCUGCGGAAAAAGCAAGGGAGUAAAUCGGAGCUUUGUGCCCGGUCAUUAAUCUCACUUGGCUACCGGUGACGCAGUCCCAUAAUCUUACUGUCAUAUCGCUGGAGCCUGUCGCUACGUAGUUCGAAUUUGGAUGAAAUUGUACCACCUGGAAAAAAUUCCGAAUUUCAGAAAACGUUCAGUCUAACAGAAAUUAGCGUCAACAAUCAACGCACGUCUACAUCCGAGUAAUGACCAGCAAAUAUUCGUAGAGGUUGAUGCGAAUCGGUCGCCCAGAGUCUGGCAGUUUUGUCGUGUGAGGAUGUCGCGAAGUAAUAACCAUGAGACGAGAAUCUCACGCACCAUACUGGGAACAAGUGUCCCUUGUAGCAAACGACGCAUGUCCACGUAUGCAAGGACCACAGUCUAACUGUAAUAUAAUGUAAUGUAACAUUUUGUCGAGCAAUUACAGACGUAUGAAACACGAUGUACCUGUGCUAUCUUCCGAGGAUGAAAGAAGAAGAUUCCUAUCCGGACUAAACGAUAAACUAUAUACGGGACCAUUAUGCCCGAAUAAAGACCUCGCUGUUUCCGCUGUACGGUCGUCCAUCAUCCUCACCAAUACAUCAUCUGUUAUUAUGCAAAACACAUGUUUACUCUGUAUUUGCGAACGUUUGAAUAUUCUGUUCUUUCAACAAUACCUGCUUCUCUAUCGAUGUCCUGCAGUUGUUCUCCGGUCUUCAUCAGUCUUAAUUUCUGUGGGACUAGGCUCCAUACUUUGAUACUAGAGUCACUGAACCCGAUGGCUAAUAGACUCGAGUCCUCGGCUACUUCUGCCGCUGUCACACUAUAUCUAAUAUUAUAUAAAUAUUCAGAUCGAUUAAACAGAAUUUCAUUCGUUAGAGGAACUUACGCGUGAACUGCAUUCAGAAUCGUAUAAAAACAUAUAGACGGCAACAUGUCCGGACCCAAUACAACCCGUUUCGAUGCUUCCCUAAGCGCCUUUACUUUCUCCAAUUUGUCCGCAUCUUUUCUGUAUCCGAAACAAUUAGAUUAGUUUAAUUUCGAAA